GCUUGUCUCAAAGAUUAAGCCAUGCAUGUCUAAGUACAAGCCUCAGUAAGGUGAAACCGCGAAUGGCUCAUUAAAUCACACCUAAUCUACUGGAAAGUUACUAGUUACUUGGAUAACCGUGGUAAUUCUAGAGCUAAUACAUGCUGGUUAGCCUGACUUUUAGGAAGGGCUGUAUUUAUUAGAUAACAAACCAAUAUUCCUCGUGUCUAUUGUGAUGACUCAUAAUAACUGAUCGAAUCGCAUGGGCCUUGCCCGCGAUACAUCAUUCAAGUUUCUGCCCCAUCAGCUUUCGAUGGUAGUGUAUUGGACUACCAUGGCUUUAACGGGUAACGGAGGAUUAGGGUUCGAUUCCGGAGAGGGAGCCUGAGAAACGGCUACCACAUCUAAGGAAGGCAGCAGG
rnacentral:rRNA from 1 species